AUUGAACGCUGGCGGCAUGCCUUACACAUGCAAGUCGAACGGCAGCACGGGUGCUUGCACCUGGUGGCGAGUGGCGAACGGGUGAGUAAUACAUCGGAACGUACCUUAUCGUGGGGGAUAACGCAGCGAAAGCUGAGCUAAUACCGCAUACGCCCUGAGGGGGAAAGCGGGGGAUCGCAAAACCCCGCGCGAUUAGAGCGGCCGAUGCCUGAUUAGCUUGUUGGUGGGGUAAAAGCCCACCAAGGCGACGAUCAGUAGCUGGUCUGAGAGGACGAUCAGCCACACUGGGACUGAGACACGGCCCAGACUCCUACGGGAGGCAGCAGUGGGGAAUUUUGGACAAUGGGGGCAACCCUGAUCCAGCAAUGCCGCGUGAGUGAAGAAGGCCUUCGGGUUGUAAAGCUCUUUUGUCAGGGAAGAAACACCGGCUCUAACACAGUCCGGGAAUGACGGUACCUGAAGAAUAAGCACCGGCUAACUACGUGCCAGCCGCCGCCGUAA
rnacentral:rRNA from 1 species